AUUGAACGCUGGCGGCAUGCCUUACACAUGCAAGUCGAACGGUAACAGGUUAAGCUGACGAGUGGCGAACGGGUGAGUAAUGUAUCGGAACGUGCCCAGUCGUGAGGGAUAACUGCUCGAAAGAGCAGCUAAUACCGCAUACGACCUGAGGGUGAAAACGGGGGAUCGCAAGACCUCGCGCGAUUGGAGCGGCCGAUAUCAGAUUAGGUAGUUGGUAAGGUAAAGGCUCACCAAGCCGACGAUCUGUAGCUGGUCUGAGAGGACGACCAGCCACACUGGGACUGAGACACGGCCCAGACUCCUACGGGAGGCAGCAGUGGGGAAUUUUGGACGAUGGGCGCAAGCCUGAUCCAGCCAUGCCGCGUGCGGGAAGAAGGCCUUCGGGUUGUAAACCGCUUUUGUCAGGGAAGAAAAGGUUCUGGCUAAUACCUGGGACUCAUGACGGUACCUGAAGAAUAAGCACCGGCUAACUACGUGCCAGCAGCCGCCGUAACAC
rnacentral:rRNA from 1 species